UACUUCUUGCAGGUUCACUUAUACAAACCAUUCUGGCUUUCUCAGCCACGUCGAACACUCGUGAUCUUCUCAGAGUGGCUGACAAGGCGAACGCCGACCAGUACGCCAUGCAGUUCCUGCAUGGCUUGCGUUUCGUGUGCGUCGUGCACAUUGUGAUGUGUCACUUCUACACCUGCCUGUCGGACUCUUGGUCAAGUUUGCAGACACCCUUCGCUGAUUCCGACGAAUGGAGCCACAUGUUAGUAGCAGCCGGGUCAAACUUCGUCGGAACCUUCUUUUUUCUCAGUGGAUUUCUUCUGUGCUUUAGUACCAGCCGAGUAAGGACCAACGGACCAGCAUAUUUCCUUACCAAUGUGGCGAAAAGGUG